rnacentral:tRNA from 1 species
GGGGCUGUAGCUCAGAGGUAGAGCACUUGUCCUUCAUGCAUGAGGCACUGGGUUCAACCCUCAGCACCA